GGAAAAGAGAGGGAAGGUGCGGCAUGCUGAACAGUUCCUGAGGGACGCCCUGAGCCCUGUGUGGUCCCUGGGAAUCCCUCCUGGGAGUUUGCUAGAAAUUCAGGACAUCAGGCUCCACCAGACUUGGGAUGAGGGUCUCGAACUACUGAGUUCAAGUGAUUCUCCCGCCUCAGCCUCCCAGAGUGCGAGGAUUACAGGUGUGAGCCACAGCGCCCAGCAUAAAUGCCUGUUUCGUGUUUCCAACCUGUGUCCCUGUCAUCUUCCAAGAGAGGAGACAGUUGUGAGUGCUCUGACACCUUGACGUCAACAGAAGCAGAACAGCAGAUCAUUCCAAAACAGUUCUUAGCUGAGAUUUGAUAAACGGCAGCAUCAUUUUGGGUACAGCUAGGAUGAAGAGAAUACAAUGAAAGUUAUUCUGAGGUUCAGAAGAGAAAAUCAACAUGAAGAGACUUUGCAAAGCAGACUUUAUGCCAGGUGUAUUCUCCCAGAAGGUGGAAGUGCCAAGAUCAAGUUAUCUCUGCUCACGUUGUGCAGAAGAAUCAUCAGAGACCUUUAUUUACAAUUCUUGAAUCACAAUCCUUGCGUUGGGGCCGGGGAAUUUGCUUUAGAAGAACCCAUAGCCAUUCUGAUACAGAUUAUCCUUGAGCCACCCUUGGAGACAUCCUCAACAUCUUUAAUUCAGCUUAGAUCUCUCAGUUAUAGCGGAAUCCUUUUAGCUGAAGACAAGCAACUAUAGCUACAGUUUCAUAUCACUCACAUCGAGCCUUUUACAACCCCUUACGUGAAUCUUUUCAAUUAAUUCUCAGCGAUUUGGCCUCUGUUGAGAGCUGACAGGGAGCUUAAAAGAAUUCUAUGCACUACUGGGAAAUUUCAAGUAACUCUGAUUUCCUGACCUAUCCAGCCCAUGAGGCCUCUGCCAGAGAAACCAACUAUCUUGAAGGUGCCAUGACUUAUGCAGAAGAAAAAGAAAGGAAGAGGAAAAAAACGGCUGAGAGGCACAAAAGGCCAGGUAAGAAAGCAGGGAAAGAGGUGAUCAUCAAGAAUCAAGGACUCGGGGAGGCCAAGGCGGGAAGAUCACUUGAGCUUAGGUGUUUGAGAUCAGCCUGAACAAGAGAGAGCACCCAUCUCUACUCAAAAAUAGAAAAAUUGGGCUGGGUGCAGUGGUUCAUGCCUAUAAUCCCACCACUCUGGGAGCCAACACAGGAGGAUUGUUUGAGUUCAGGAGUUCAAGACCAGCCUGAGCAAGAGUGAGACCGUGUCUCUAAAAAAAUACCCAGGCAUUGUGGCAGGCACCUGUAGUCCCAGCUACUUGGGAGGCUAAGGCAAGAGGAUGACUUGAACCCAAGAAUUUGAGGUUGCUGUGAGCUAUGAUGCCAUAACACUCUACAGAGGACAACAAGGUGAUACUGUCCAAAGGAAAAAAAAAUAAAAAGAUAGAGAAAAAUUAUCCAGGUGUGGUGGAGUCUUCUGUAGUCCUAGCUACUUUGGAGGCUAAGGUAGGAGAAUUGCUUGAGCCCAGGAGUUGAAGAUACAAUGCGCUAUUGUCUCUCCAGCCAAGCGGGGGAGACACAGCAAGACUGUCUCCAAAAGGGAAAACAAGAAUCAAGGAGAGA